UACGUAGGGUGCAAGCGUUGUCCGGAAUUAUUGGGCGUAAAGAGCUCGUAGGUGGUCUGUUGCGUCGGCUGUGAAAACCCGAGGCUCAACCUCGGGCCUGCAGCCGAUACGGGCAGACUAGAGUUCGGCAGGGGAGACUGGAAUUCCUGGUGUAGCGGUGAAAUGCGUAGAUAUCUGGAGGAAUACCGGUGGCGAAGGCGGCAUCCUGGACCGGCAUUGACGCUGAUGAGCGAAAGCUAGGGGAGCAAACGGG
rnacentral:rRNA from 1 species